UACGUAGGGUGCAAGCGUUGUCCGGAAUUAUUGGGCGUAAAGAGCUCGUAGGCGGUUUGUCGCGUCUGGUGUGAAAAUCCAGGGCUUAACCCUGGACCUGCAUCGGGUACGGGCAGACUAGAGUGCGGUAGGGGAGAUCGGAAUUCCUGGUGUAGCGGUGAAAUGCGCAGAUAUCAGGAGGAACACCGGUGGCGAAGGCGGGUCUCUGGGCCAAUACUGACGCUGAGGAGCGAAAGCGUGGGGAGCGAACAGG
rnacentral:rRNA from 1 species